AGUGAACGCUGGCGGUAGGCCUAACACAUGCAAGUCGAACGGCAGCACAGUAAGAGCUUGCUCUUACGGGUGGCGAGUGGCGGACGGGUGAGGAAUACAUCGGAAUCUACUUUUUCGUGGGGGAUAACGUAGGGAAACUUACGCUAAUACCGCAUACGACCUACGGGUGAAAGCAGGGGAUCUUCGGACCUUGCGCGAUUGAAUGAGCCGAUGUCGGAUUAGCUAGUUGGCGGGGUAAAGGCCCACCAAGGCGACGAUCCGUAGCUGGUCUGAGAGGAUGAUCAACCACUCUGGCACUGAGGCACGGUCCAGACUCCUACGGGAGGCAGCAGUGGGGAAUAUUGGACGAUGGGCACAAGCCUGAUCCAGCCAUACCGCGUGGGUGAAGAAGGCCUUCGGGUUGUAAAGCCCUUUUGUUGGGAAAGAAAAGCAGCAGGUUAAUACCCCGCUGUUCUGACGGUACCCAAAGAAUAAGCACCGGCUAAGUUCGUG
rnacentral:rRNA from 1 species